CACAUAGUCACGUUCACAGGUGCCCGCGAGGGAGAAUAGGGAACCGGGUGUGAAUCCCGGGCGGUCCCGCCGCUGUAUGGGGGAGCCUGCUGCAAGAUGCCACUUCACAUGAGGGAAGGCGCAGCCGGUGAGGAACCUGAGCCAGAAGACCUGCCUGUGAACAGUCAAGGGU
rnacentral:ncRNA from 2 species